rnacentral:tRNA from 1 species
GGAGAGAUGGCUGAGUUGGUCGAAAGCGCUCGACUCGAAAUCGAGUAGGCGGGUUGAUAGCCGGUCUCGAGAGUUCGAAUCUCUCUCUCUCCG